ACCGUGUCGCCUCAAAGGACAACAAUGUUAAAACACAUGAGUGCAAGGCAUGCUGGGAAGUCCUUUCUACCCCAAAUCACCAAGGCACGAGCCAGACAUCCAGGUCAACACGUCAGAUGAAGAGAGACGUUGUAAAGUCCAAUAAAUUAGUGUGCCUCGUGCCAAAGACAAAUGAGUCACUGGACGCGGAUGGCCCCUGACUCCGCCGCACUUUGGACUUUGACGUGUGGCAUCAGCUCCGUGAGCAAACACAGCACAGCACAAUUCUAUUUGGCUUGAUGGCUUCCUGUCACGGGUGAAGGACAGUGGUUGAGGGGGAGUUUUGUUACUGCUGGAGCUAGUCGAUGCCUUACAAUAGUUAGUUAGCCUUAAUGAUGCGCAUCGACGCAACCCAAAGACUUUUUUUUUUUUGGUGCAGGGCAAGCGUUUUAGGGACGAGGCGCACAGGUGGAGCUGCGAGGUGUGUGCAGGCAGAGCGGCGAGGCUUACAGGCAUGUUCAGGGGUCAAAAUGUGUGCCUGUUAGUUGGCCACUCUCUGGGAGGGGAGAGCACUGAUGUGAUGAUGAAUUUAUUUUUACCUCCGCCAAGUGCAAGCCAGCGUUUAUCUGUUUGUUUGUAUUCAAAAUAACUUGGAUUUGGAUGAAAUUUUCAGGAAUUGUCAGCAAUGGGACAUGAAAGAGCUGAUUACAUUUUGGGGGUGAUCUGGAUCACCAUCUGGAUCCAGGAAUUAUUUAAAGGAUUCUUUAACAUCGCCAGAUAGCACAAUUUUCGGCAUUUGUGCAUAUAACUACACAAAGAAUGGUCAGAGCACACAAAAAAAAUGCAGGCCAAGUUUCCAACAGGUUCUACAAAAUAUCAAAGACUGAUCCAAAAAAUGUAGGAUUAUUAUUUGUGUGAAUCACAAUAUGGGGGGAAUUAUGGCGCUUGGCGGAGGUCUGCUCACUUCGAGUGCUUCUCUAGUUCCUAAUAUUUUCAGGAUCGACUGGCAUAGACCCAUAGAUCGACUGGUCAAUCGCGAUCGACGGGUGGGCAACUCCUGAUGUAAGCUAAUACGAUAAUAAUAUGUAGUCGUCCCUCCCUACAUUGCGGUUUGAACCUCGCUCGAUCGUGUUUUUUUCAAAAAUGAGUAAAUGAUUGUUAUUUCAUGGUUGACUGUGGCCUAUAAUAUAUACAGUAUUACAUUAAAACUGUAUACACAAUAUUGAAAGACAGGUCAUAUGUAUUCUGGUCACUAGGCGUCAGUAAAGUUACACUGAUGAGACAUUACCUGCAUUAAGUCAGCCAUGGAUGAUGAGUCUGACAUGACAUGGUGGAAAAAAAGUUCUCCCACAUUCCGUGUUGCAGUGGUACAUUUUUGGCUUCGUACUUUGUCCUUCUUCCCCACCCAGUUUCAAACCUAAUCUUAAGUUUAGAAUAAAUAACUUGGAGGCUAACUAGUUAGCUCAGUAGAUUGCUAUGGUAAAAGCGGCAGCCGUCUCUUGUGAUACCAUAGCCUGCACAUAAGUGGUGCACGGUGUGAUGUAAAAAGAAAAAAACAAACCUAGCAGUAUUGUCGUUGAGUGUAUGUGUAUGUCUGGCAGAUUGAUAUAACCAAGUGACAAACGUCAUAGUGAGGAUGGAUGAUAGGCUGAUGUCAAUCUUUUUUUUUUUUAUGCCAUGCGAUCGACUCACAUUACUUUCGAGAUGCUACAACAACAAGAAACUCCCAAUGCUAACGAUGGGUUAUUAUGUCUUAUGUCUACUAUAAUAGGUAAUACGAGUUUAAAGGUGAUUGUAGGGGUGUUAUUUCGUGUGUACAGGGCUCUAAAUAAUGUUAAAAACAUUUUUAAAAGGUCAUAAACAAGUUUUCUAUGCUAUAACUACAAAAUAUUCCAUUUAUUAAUACUGAAUCCUACUUUGCAGAAAUUAAUCUAUCACGGUCGGGGCUGGAACCAUUUAAUCGCAAUAAAGGAGGGACGACUGUAUAACUUCAAGAUACCCAAAGCACUUCACAAUGAAAGACACUAUUCUUUGAGUCCUCAGUCACACAUUGGUGGUGGUAAUCUCCAGCUGUAGCCACAGAUGCCCCAGGGUAGACAAUUAGUGGCUAACUUUCAUUCACAUUUAUACACCAGUGUGGGUUGUACUGGAGUGGGUAGAAGGGUCUUGCCCAAGGACACAACAACAGUGACUGGGAUGGAGCAAGUGUGGUAGGAACCACCAACUGUCCAGUUUCUGGAUGACCUAUUCUUACCUCCUGAGUCACUGCCGUCCGAUGCUGAAUUACGAAUAUGCAGGGAUCCACUGUAUAUGACUGAGUUUACUAACCAAAAAUCAUGGCUGACCACUGCAAUAAGCUAGUAUUUUUUUGUUUGUAAAUAAAUUGUCAUUAGUCCUGACUACAAACACCCGUCUUUUUUCUGAACCUUCAUCAUUUUUAAAAAACACUUUCCAAACUGUGCCUAUAACAGAAAGAUUAUGGUUUAAACACGUCUUUGUACCUUUCUAGUGCGUUGUAAGCCCCUGUCGCGGACCCUGGGUUGAUGUAGAACUUGUUCUCGUUCUCAAAGGCCUCAAACUUGUGCGUGUGGCCUGAGAUGAGGAUGUCCACAUCCAGCUGCCUCUGAAGCAGAGCCAAGCUAGCCAUGUCCCCCCAUGGGAUCACCUGGUGGCCAUGGAUGAGCCCGAUCUUGAACUGGCCCACCGUCACCACCUUCUGUUCUGGGUAGUUCAGAUUCUGAAUGGGACAUAAAAAAAAAAAAGCCGGUUGUGAAUUUGAACUGUCGUCAGUAGAAAGUAAACCACUUCUACUGUUGUUUAAACACAAAACAAACCUCAUCAAAGUCUCCUCGGACUAUGUGGACGUCGCCGGCGAGAGUCUUCAGGUAGUCGUAGCUCUCCUUGGUGCACAGGUUGCCCGUGCAUAGGAUGUGCUGGAUCUUUCCCGGGACCAGCAGCUUCUUGAACUUGGCUGGCAGGGUGUUGCACCGGUGGGGGAUGUGCAGGUCACCUAACACCAGGACCAACUGGUGGAAUCACACACACAAAAAGACAGGUUAGCUUCUCGUCAAUGAGCUAUACUGAAAACAGGAGUGGACCAACAAGGUCUCCCUGGGGUACACGCAAGUCGAUUUCUCCAGCAAAGAAGGAUGCCAGGACCACUAGAAGCUCUGUUGUUGACAACCAGAAAAAUACUGUUUACACUAGGGAUGCUCCGAUAGCUCGGCCACUGAGCGUGUGAUUGGCAUAUGCCGAAAAAUGCCUUUAAACUCUGAUCACAAAAGCCGAACACCUGUGGCUAGCACUAUUGCAGCUCCCAGUAACCCUUUCAUGUAGUGUAGUGUCUUCUUGCCCUAACUGACGUCUUGGGCAGCGUCGUCGUCCCACUUUCUUUCAAAACAAAAGCAAUCAUGGCUGCCGUGUGGAACUGAGCUGCUAACACAUAGCACAAAAACUAUUUUGCGGGGGUAACACGUUAAAAAGCUUGAAUUUAAUACGUCAUUUGAAGAACCAUCACUUGACGGAGUAUGGUGAGUUUUGGAGGCUCAUGGCAGCUCACAUCAAACGGCAGCUAAUGCAGCCAUGUAAGUAACACUCACCCGGAUGUGUGUGACAGUCAGACAGCUAAGCUAAUA